rnacentral:rRNA from 1 species
AUUGAACGCUGGCGGCAUGCCUUACACAUGCGAGUCGAACGGUAACAGGUCUUCGGAUGCUGACGAGUGGCGAACGGGUGAGUAAUACAUCGGAACGUGCCCGAUCGUGGGGGAUAACGAGGCGAAAGCUUUGCUAAUACCGCAUACGAUCUACGGAUGAAAGCGGGGGAUCUUCGGACCUUGCGCGGACGGAGCGGCCGAUGGCAGAUUAGGUAGUUGGUGGGAUAAAAGCUUACCAAGCCGACGAUCUGUAGCUGGUCUGAGAGGAUGAUCAGCCACACUGGGACUGAGACACGGCCCAGACUCCUACGGGAGGCAGCAGUGGGGAAUUUUGGACAAUGGGCGAAAGCCUGAUCCAGCCAUGCCGCGUGCAGGAUGAAGGCCUUCGGGUUGUAAACUGCUUUUGUACGGAACGAAAAGCCUCUUUCUAAUAAAGAGGGGUCAUGACGGUACCGUAAGAAUAAGCACCGGCUAACUACGUG